GCAAGCGUGAUGGAAUGGUAGACAUGCACCACUUAGGAUGGUGUGGCCCCGGCUGUGAGAGUUCAAGUCUCUCCGCUUGUA